AUUGAACGCUGGCGGCAUGCCUUACACAUGCAAGUCGAACGGCAGCACGGGAGCAAUCCUGGUGGCGAGUGGCGAACGGGUGAGUAAUAUAUCGGAACGUGCCCAGUCGUGGGGAUAACGUAGCGAAAGCUACGCUAAUACCGCAUACGAUCUACGGAUGAAAGCGGGGGAUCGCAAGACCUCGCGCGAUUGGAGCGGCCGAUAUCAGAUUAGGUAGUUGGUGAGGUAAAGGCUCACCAAGCCGACGAUCUGUAGCUGGUCUGAGAGGACGACCAGCCACACUGGGACUGAGACACGGCCCAGACUCCUACGGGAGGCAGCAGUGGGGAAUUUUGGACAAUGGGCGCAAGCCUGAUCCAGCAAUGCCGCGUGCAGGAUGAAGGCCUC
rnacentral:rRNA from 1 species